CUGGGCUGAAGGGUCAGAGCAGCCAUUCUAUAAGCAGCUAAGCCAGAUAUGAUUAUAAGUCAUCAGAUCACGCCUAGAACUACUUAUCUGAAUUCCAAUGUCAAGCAAACAGCAGGAACAAGACAGCUAAGAAGAAAGAAGCCACAGCACAGCUUAUUAAAGCAGCAACCUUCCAGUCCAGCACUUUGCUUCUACAACUUGAUGACAUUGCCAAGACUUCAGCAUCAUUGAGAAUCAUAGAAUAUCAGAGUCGGAACGGAUCUCAGGAGGUCAUCUAGUCCAACGCCCUGUCAAAGCAGGACCAAUCCCCAACUAAAUCAUCCAAGAGUGUAGAAGAGUGUCCCCACCAGAGCGUACCCACUCUAAAGGUGCAAUCUUUGUUGAAAGCUCUCCAGUCAGACAGACAGAGGAGACUGUAUCUGAAGUAACUAGUGUUUACUGCUUGUGUUCUGUUUUGUCUGUCUUUGAUCACGGUGCUCCUUCAGGCCUGGUGUGCAGAACUCCAUGUGACUAGACUACCCGGAAUCACAAUUCCUGAAUUGGCAUUGAGAGUCAAUUAAGAUGUGACCAACCAUUUCUUGUUUCUUUAGACCAGAGAUUCCCAAACUCUGGUACGUGCACGUGAUGUGAUGUUCCAUCCAUUCACUUCACAACAAAUUUAAAAUGGUGCAAGAACCAAUAAAGUCCAGGAGCUGCUUCUCUAGGCUACAAAUGUUUAGUAAUUUUUGUGAUAAAAUUACUCGGUGCUCAACACUGUAAAACUCCCCUUUUUAUCCUACACCAUAUCAUAGCAUCUUCCAACAAUGUCAAACUGACAGUGCUCAACGAUGUUAAUUAUAAGCAUAUUAGUAAAUGUUUAUUUUGUUAAAUGAUAAUGCAUUCUGCAGAUUGGGAAAGAACAUCACAAAGCUAUUUCAGUAGACUGUUCUUCACAGAAAGCCUUAAGAACUACGAGCUAUUUUGUAACAUUUGACACUUCCACUGUUUGUCAUAGCAGCUGAAAUGAAAACAAAAGUUGCAAUUUGCUGCCCACAUAUAAUGUCACCAGGAACAAUCAUAUAGAAAUAAGGAACUGUUCCCUGCUGGAAAGUUUCAAAAGAAGUCAUUUGUUUAUGUGUCAGCCCCUUUGUCAUUAAGCUACUCCACUUACAAUUAAAAUUCAAUGCUAUUUCCACUGAUCCAGUGCAGUGCUAUAUUUGCUUAAUGCUUGUAUAAUUAACAGCUUCACCUAGAGAGACUAAUCAAAGACAGUGAGAUAAAGACAAGGUAAGUCAGAAAGUGUACACAUGGUUGGAUUUUAAGAUGAAACUACUGAAUACUCUGAGUAGUUAAAAUCUUUUUUAAGAAUGGCAGAAGCCAAUAAAGACAGACAUAGACGUCUGAAAUUUGUGGCCAAGUGGCCACAACUUUAUUAAUUUCAUAAGAGGACACUUCCUGGGCCAACCUUCACUGGCAGCAGUGAAAAGAGAGAAAGGGCUGUGAUGAUCCCUCCGUCACCCGUCUUCACCCUUUUGAUGUUGAAAUCCCACAGUCUCAGGCUGUACAUCACAAACCAACCAUGAAAGUUCUCAAAGCACCCAGGCCAACAAACUACAAAAGUCAAAGUUCACAGGAUGCCCAGGCCAACAGAUCAGAGGUCCCCAAAGUGCCUGCAAGACACCCAUGAAAUUUUCCAGAUCCAAGAAUCUCCAUACCAGUGACAAAGUCUGGCACAUUAUCCACACAAUUGUUACACUCCGGGUGACCUGUGAAAAAUACCACCUGUAACCAAAGUGUCCUGUGAAACUCAAAAUACAACUUGCAAGCACAAACAGACUGCAAAUUCAUUGAUACCUCCAACUCAACCACCAAGGAUAGGGAACAAAAGAUGGUAUUUUCAAUGGAGGGCAGAAUUGGAAUUGGCCUUCCUUUGCUUUUCUUGAUAAUAUCAGCUGCUCUGUUCCUCAGCCAAGCCAAGAGCCUUUUUCAUAGACCAUGACUAUCUAGUGAAAGCUCUCCUCCUCUUCCUCCUUCCUGCAUUGGCUGACUGCUGCAACAAGGCAACCUAGGGGCCCAUACUGCACUGCCCUGCAAUUCCGAGACCAAUGCACCUUUUGUGCAUAUGUAGUUUUAUAGGCAUGUAUGGCUGGUUCUCUUUUAAAUCAGAUGGUGCUACAGUAAACAAGUGUUUCCACGCAGAAGGGAACGUGUAGUCAUUUCUUUCCAAACUCUUAAAUCAACUUGGAAGUUAAAAAAAUGAGAGCUGAAAAAAACAACAAAACUCCCUCUCUCUGUCUCCAAUCUUUUAUAGUUAAGCUUCCAUGUGACAUGAUCACCUAAUUUGUAUACUUCGCUAG